rnacentral:tRNA from 1 species
GUCGUGUUCGUCUAGCUGGCCCAGGACACCGGUCUUUCAUACCGGAGAUCGCGGGUUCGAGUCCCGCACACGACGCCA